GAUUGACGUAUUAUCAGUGUACCGUAUGUCAAGAAGCAUCCUAUGGUGAUACAGCAUUCGUUCUCCGCAAGAAUAUUUCUCUCCACAUAUCUGUUGUAAAA